rnacentral:sRNA from 1 species
GCGCCUGCGGCGGACCCGGCAGGGACUUUUUCCCGGCUUCGCAGGCAGCCUGCCCCUGUACGGUCCGGUACAUCCCGGAAUUAUCCGGGCUUUAAUGCCUUCU